rnacentral:lncRNA from 1 species
GACCCGGACUCCAUUUCCCAGAAAGCUCCUCGGGGUCCUCAUCCCGGAACUACGCUUUUUUUCUGAAAGCGGAAGAUGGGCGAGCCGGGCAGUAGAGACGCUUUCUGAAGGGGGUAGAACGGUUCGAGGUUUCGCGGACUGUUUACCUCCAGGGGUCGUUCGUGAGUCAGAGAAACCGGGCCUUUGGAGGGAGAGGGCCUGGCGACAGUCCUUCUGCGCUUGGCUGUGCAGCGUUCUGGCUGCUUCUGCCCGGCGCCACGAGGCCCGCCCCGGCGCUACCCUCGCCCUGCCUGCCCCGGCUCUGUCGGCCUGCGGGCGCUGCAGCCUCUCUCCCGCCGCCGGCGUGUCUGGAAAUGGAGGCCCAUAGCUAGAAGGAAGAAACUUACGUGUCUCUGAGCAGGCAGAUGAGGAACGCAUUUUUCAGAGCUCUGGUUCUCUGUGAGACACACAACCCAUAGUAAUUUAGUUUUGUUCCAAACGUGUUAAGUGAAGUGCACACCUCCCUAUUUGUUCCUAAGGAGCUACAGCUACUGGUAACUUCUACAAGACAGAGGUCCUGUUGCUACCCUGUGUGACAGAAUGGGAAGUACGCAUGAAGCAGGCUUGCUGCAUACCAAGUGGCAGUCGAGACAUCUGUUGAGGCUGCGGCCAUCUGAAGGCUUGACUGGACCUGGAGAAUCUGCUUCCAAGAGGUGCACUCACGUGGCUGUUGGCAGGAGGUGUCACUGGACGGACCUCUCCACGGGGCUUUGACGAUGCGCACAGCUUGGCAGCCAGCUUCUCCCAGAGCAAGUGAUCAGAGAGAGGGAGCAAGAUAGAAGCCUCAGUGUCUUUUAUGAUCUACCCUCAGAAGUCAUGCUCUGUAAUUUCCACCACGUUCUAUUCAUUAGAGUGAGUCACAU